GCUUUCUGCGAGAGAGAGAGAGAGAGAGAGAGAGAGAAGGGGGUGGCGAGGGAGGGCGGAGAAAAGGAGAGAGCUUUCUCUAAAAGAGUAGCAGCACUUGCAACAGUAUACACAAGCUUCGUCCUCUUGGUAGGGGACAGCCCAACGGCUAAAAAAGCAAGCAGGAUCCGGAGGCUUUUCUUUCUCUUUAAUUCACAAGAGGAGGGGCGAGAGAGGCUCUCUCAAGCCGCCACACGACAAGAGGUCUUCUGGCCCGUUAGAAUCCCAACCACUGUUCUCCUUCUUGUCGCCUCUUCAGUCCUUCUUCCUGCUGUCUUCUUCGCUCUCAAUUCCCGAAAAAAUCUGAGAUUUUUUUCCCGCAAUAUCUAGCAUUGUAUUUGGAUUCUAAUUGAAUCCAGAUGCUCAUUUACUCGAGAGCUCUGCGGGGUGGUUCUGCUUCGCCUUCGGCUUAGGCUUUGGUUGAUAGAGCUAUAAGAGUACCCAGAUACAAUGAGGAAUUGAAAUGAAUGAACCAAGGCUAACAGUUGGUCCUUCCACCAUGGAUAACAUUGCACCUGACUGUCCUUACCCAGGAUGCUUCUUCUGUGUCAUGAAGGAGGGAAAUGCAAACAAACGAAGAACAAGUAUCCUGAAGUUUUUUAGAGAGCUUCCUUCUCAAGAUGAUGAAGGCCAAGUUCUCCCGAUCAGUGGCCUUUGGAACACUGCCAUGGCACAUCCAAAUGAUUCCGAGUUUAUUAACUUGGGAAUAUUUGAAUGCAUGGCUGCAUUGAUAUGGAAGGGCUUAAAGAACAAGCGUUGGCUUACACACGACCAGAACAUAUACAUCCCCUAUUAUGCAGCUCAUAUAAUCGGAUCUUACACCAUGAAUAUGGAAGAGUUUGCAGAAACUGCGGUGCAUGCUGGAGUCAUUCCUCCCUUAGUUGAACUUUUACGAGGUAGGCUGACCUGGGUGGAGCAAAGGGUAGCAGUUAGGGCCCUGGGACACUUGGCUACAUAUCCUAGUACAUUCCCUGCAGUGGCAAGUCACGGAGAAGUCCUUGAGCUUGCCAUUCAGCUGGCAUCAAGUUCUCUAGAGAUUGUCUACUCUCACUUUUACCAGUUUGUGGAUAGGAGACUAAGCUAUCACUGCGAUCUACUUACACGGGGCAUGGGUGGUGUGGAUAUGGAGUCCAGGAAAGCAGAGGAAUGGGCCAGUCAGUUACAGUGCUGGUCUCUUCAGCUCAUUAACUGCUUUGCUUUCAAGCCUGAGUUUCUCCCUGAUAUAUGCAAGCCAGAAUUUUUAAUAAAAUUACCAGGCAUGUGGGGAGGGCUUGUCAAUGAGAACUCCCCAGCAGGUAUUGGUUUACUGCGAACAAUUUGCCAGCAUAAGCUUGGGAGGAGUCCUGUUGCUAACUGUCCUGGUAUCAUUGACGCGCUAUGUAAUAUAGCUCGUUCAUCUGAUGACUGGCAGUACAUGGCUAUUGAUUGUCUUCUUUGGUUACUUCAAGAUCCAAGUGCCUGCCAUAAGGUGAUAGAUAAGGCAGCCCCAGCACUUACAGAUUUAGCAGAAAUUUCAACUCUUGGUGAUCAUAAAAGACUUGGCGACAGUAUUGUUAGUGUUCUUCAAGCAUGUAUACAGUCAAUUGGGACAGCAUGCAGUAGCCAUACGAAAGAACAGAUUGAUGAACUUUUGAGUUCCAGGCAGAGAUUAAAAUGGGAGAAGAAUAUGCCAAAGGAGGAUCUACAUAUAAAGCAGGCAGCAGCACUGGUUGUUAAGCUGGAAGGGAAUUCUUUAUUUUCUUCUGGUAAUAUUGCAGGAGCUGCGUCAAAGUACUCCGAAGCACUGGCAUUGUGCCCCGUGAAGUCAAAAAAAGAGAGAGUUGUGUUGUACAGCAAUAGGGCUCAGUGCUAUCUUCUCUUGCAGCAACCAUUGGCAGCCAUAAGCGAUGCUACACAUGCAUUGUGCCUUCAUAACCCUCCUAAUCAUCAUGCCAAAAGCCUGUGGAGAAGAGCCCAAGCAUAUGAUAUGCUUGGUUUAGCUAAGGAGAGCUUGUUAGAUGCUAUUCUAUUCGUUAAUGAGUGUUCUCAGUCAAAUGAUCCUGACCUGUCCUUGAGGCAGAAUAAAGUUCCUGAUUAUGCUGAAAGGUUAGUGAAGAAGCAGAUGCGUGCUGCAUGGCUAUUCGGAGAAGCAGCUAUAAAGCAUGGGGGAGUUCAUUGUGAUGGUGAUUCUGGAGAUGUAUUUGGCGAACGGGCUGAUGACUCUGAGUGGGAGACAGCCAGUGAAAGUGAUAUUGGAAAUGAUAGAAGAGGAGAAGCAGAUGAUGAUGAGAGUGAAUGGAAAAAUGAUGACAGCCGGAAAAAUAUAUAUCGCAAGGCUUCUACAAAAGGUGUCCAUACAUAUAUUGAGGAGGGGAAGAAGCACAACCAUCUCAACUAUUUGCAGUUGUAAACAUUUGUUGUUAAUCUUGUUCUUGUAGAGGUCCUAGGUUCAGCCUUCCCUACAUGACAAUUUGUGACUUCUAGAAGAAGAUGAUGCAUGAUUUGCGUAGUAUUUGCACAAAUGAGAUCAGAGACUGUGAACUGUCAUCAGAGGUUGAAGUGCAAAAGGCGUUGUUCUUCAGUUCUUUGAAGUGUGAGUUCUACUGAGGUAUUCAUAUCCCUUUGUUUAAUGUUGAACUGAAAAAGGACUCUUUUCCUAUCCAUUAAUGUUGUUGUUUCUCGGUAUGAAAAUUUUCAAGUUGUGUUUGGUGAUAUUGUGGGUUGACGAGGCCUUCAUUUGCUUUGGAGUGGUUGGCAGAGCUGGAUUUGUAUUUCAUUGGAUUUACUGCUCUAUGGUGAAUGCCGUGUCUUCUGAGUUGGUAGUUUGAUGAUAAUCCUUUUUAUCUCUUAUGAAUAUAUGCCAGGUAUUGCUGCUU